CUUCGCUAACUGUCAUCAUCGUUGCAGUCGUCGGUAUUGGCAUAGAUACCGCUAAUAUCGCCUACAUCCAUCACGUCCGCGUACCUGUACUUAUCACGCGGCUAGUAGUAGUAGUUUGAUGUUUGGUACAAUCUUUUCCACGGUCCCAAAUAUUUCCUGCUUUUCGUGUGUAUACUUAAUAUAAAUAGAUUCAUACAUAUGGACUUACGUAUAAUAUACGUAUAUACUUGUUAUUCAUUCGCUUUCCUUCGGUGCAGCAUUUUCUUAUCUCUGUUAUUAUUUGACUUUGGCGCAUUCGGGGUAGCCAAUGACGUGGUCAUAGUAAAAACUUUUAAUAUUUCCUCCUCGCUCCCUCCAAAAUCUAGUAAAAUUGCAUUUUUGCAAACUGACAAUCUGAAGUAAAAUUUGUGAAAAUUUUAACCUCUAGCUGGACAGCAAAAACUUUGGGAACGUGAGUAGCAGCAGCCGGCCGCUCCAAAAAAUUCUGGCAACACUGAUAACCACGUCAAGAAAUCGGUUGACUGGCAAACAUUUGGAAAAACUUCUAUUCUUCUGAAGUACAACAAAAGAAAACUUUUUUCGCUAAAAUAUUUUAUUAAUAAACUAGCAGAUCCGGCUUCGUCCCGCCCAAAAUUAAUUUUUUAUUGUAACAUUUGGUCCAAGGUUUUCACCAGCAAUUCACGUUAACGUUUGGUUUUAUGGUCGACAGAAGGGAUAUCCUCUAUUGCCGUCUUAAAUAACUUGGCGAAAGCGUUAUACCGGGAAGAAGUCCUUGCGGCUCGAUGGUGAAUCGUCCCUGAAUCUGUAUACUAUAUGUGGUGGCAAUUUCCAAACUGGUGACAAAAGGGACUCAAAAUGGAGAAAAUUAGCGGCAUCUCAUCACAACAGCGGCAAUUAGAAGUACGCUUUAAUUGUUGAUGCCCAGCUCUCAAAAAUGAUUAAUAUACUUUAAAUAUUAUUUCAUAAGCGUUCCAGCAAAAAUUCAACGAAUCUGUGGAAAUAAUAGAGCGAAUAACCAAAAGAUAUUUGCAUUACGCUGGAGACAGGAUCUCAAAACGGAAUAAAAGAAAUGUUUCACGGUCGUCUGCAUAAAU